CAUGCUAACACCAUCCUCCUCUAGAUCUUACAGUCAUCUCAUUCUGCAUUUGCAGUUGCAAAUUGGUCAAAGCAUUCUGCAUUCUGCAUUUGCAGUUGCAAAUUGGUCAAAGCAUUCAGCAUUCUGCAUACUUGAAAUUUUAUAACAAGUAAGCUGAAGAUGGGGGAUAUGUGAUGCAAGGUUUGAUGAUCUGCUGAUUGGGGGGUUGUCCCCAACUUCCUGUGAGGAGCGUGACUUGUCAAUGGGCAUCUAGCAGUGGUUCUCUCCCCAUGCAAUGGCAGCGAGUUCACCGGGCCGCAGACACCAUUCCUUCGGCUGUGGUUCAGAUGGACGACGGUGGCAGCUUAGUGCGAAACUUUGGCCCAUUGUUUGGUGUUGGUGCCGUUGAGAUUAAUUGAUCCUGAAAGUGGCAAAGGCAUGGAGGAGAGAAGUGCCAUGGGGGAGCAGAAAUUUGGAAGCACUGGAUAAAAGAAAUGGCAAGACUUGCUACUACCUCCUAUCCAUAAUAAGUGUCGUUGUUUUGUUUAGCCCAGUUCAAAACUGCGGCACUUAUUUUGGAUCGGAGGGAGUACUUGAUA